CACGUAGGGUGCGAGCGUUGUCCGGAAUUAUUGGGCGUAAAGAGCUCGUAGGCGGUGUGUCGCGUCGGCCGUGAAAACCUGCAGCUUAACUGUGGGCUUGCGGUCGAUACGGGCAUCACUGGAGUUCGGCAGGGGAGACUGGAAUUCCUGGUGUAGCGGUGAAAUGCGCAGAUAUCAGGAGGAACACCGGUGGCGAAGGCGGUUCUCUGGGCAUGUCCUGA
rnacentral:rRNA from 1 species